GAUGAACGCUGGCGGCGUGCCUAAUACAUGCAAGUCGAGCGAACAGACGAGGAGCUUGCUCCUCUGACGUUAGCGGCGGACGGGUGAGUAACACGUGGAUAACCUACCUAUAAGACUGGGAUAACUUCGGGAAACCGGAGCUAAUACCGGAUAAUAUAUUGAACCGCAUGGUUCAAUAGUGAAAGACGGUUUUGCUGUCACUUAUAGAUGGAUCCGCGCCGCAUUAGCUAGUUGGUAAGGUAACGGCUUACCAAGGCAACGAUGCGUAGCCGACCUGAGAGGGUGAUCGGCCACACUGGAACUGAGACACGGUCCAGACUCCUACGGGAGGCAGCAGUAGGGAAUCUUCCGCAAUGGGCGAAAGCUUGACGGAGCAACGCCGCGUGAGUGAUGAAGGUCUUCGGAUCGUAAAACUCUGUUAUUAGGGAAGAACAAAUGUGUAAGUAACUGUGCACGUCUUGACGGUACCUAGUCAGAAAGCCACGGCUAACUACGUG
rnacentral:rRNA from 1 species